rnacentral:rRNA from 1 species
UACAGAGGGUGCAAGCGUUGUUCGGAAUCAUUGGGCGUAAAGCGCACGUAGGCGGCUUGUUAAGUCGGGUGUGAAAUCCCUGGGCUCAACCUAGGACGUGCACCUGAAACUGGCGAGCUUGAGUCUCGGAGAGGUUGGUGGAAUUCCCAGUGUAGAGGUGAAAUUCGUAGAUAUUGGGAGGAACACCGGUGGCGAAGGCGGCCAACUGGACGAAGACUGACGCUGAGGUGCGAAAGCGUGGGGAUCAAAC